rnacentral:misc_RNA from 1 species
GGUGAAGAACGUAGCGAAAUGCGAUAAGUAAUGUGAAUUGCAGAAUUCAGUGAAUCAUCGAAUCUUUGAACGCACAUUGCGCCCGCCAGUAUUCUGGCGGGCAUGCCUGUUCGAGCGUCAUUUCAACCAUCAAGCCCCCGGGCUUGUGUUGGGGACCUGCGGCUGCCGCAGGCCCUGAAAAGCAGUGGCGGGCUCGCUGUCACACCGAGCGUAGUAGAUUUUAUCUCGCUCUGGGCGUGCUGCGGGUUCCGGCCGUUAAACCACCCUUUUAACCCAAGGUUGACCUCGGAUCAGGUAGGAAGACCCGCUGAACUUAAGCAUAUCAAUAAGCGGAGGA